UACGUAGGGGGCAAGCGUUGUCCGGAAUCAUUGGGCGUAAAGAGCGCGUAGGCGGUCCGGUAAGUCGGUUGUGAAAACUGGGGGGCUCAACCCUCAGAGGCCGACCGAUACUGUCGGGCUAGAGUCCGGAAGAGGCGAGUGGAAUUCCUGGUGUAGCGGUGAAAUGCGCAGAUAUCAGGAGGAACACCAAUGGCGAAGGCAGCUCGCUGGGACGGUACUGACGCUGAGGCGCGAAAAGCGUGGGGGAGCAGACAGG
rnacentral:rRNA from 1 species